rnacentral:rRNA from 1 species
CCUACGGGUGGCUGCAGUGGGGAAUAUUGCACAAUGGGGGAAACCCUGAUGCAGCGACGCCGCGUGAGCGAUGAAGUAUUUCGGUAUGUAAAGCUCUAUCAGCAGGGAAGAAAAUGACGGUACCUGACUAAGAAGCCUCGGCUAACUACGUGCCAGCAGCCGCGGUAAUAUGUAGGGGGCAAGCGUUAUCCGGAUUUACUGGGUGUAAAGGGAGCGUAGACGGCGGUGCAGGUCAGAUGUGAAAGCCCGGGGCUCAACCCCGGGACUGCAUUUGGAACUGUGCUGCUAGAGUGUCGGAGAGGCAGGCGGAAUUCGUAGUGUAGCGGUGAAAUGCAUAGAUAUUAGGAAGAACACCAGUGGCGAAGGCGGCCUGCUGGACGAUGACUGACGUUGAGGCUCGAAAGCGUGGGUAGCAAACAGGAUUAGAUACCCUAGUAGUC